rnacentral:rRNA from 1 species
UCUGAUCGGGUGGGAGGUGUCGAGAAGAGGAACAGAGGUGUUGUGUCGAACCGAGAGGCGGCCAAAGACGAGUUCACCUCUCCGGGCAGUCGAGCUAGCCGAGGUCCUAGUACCUGCUGCCGCGUUCUGGCCGCGGGUUGGUGUUCUCUGACGUCCUCCGCCCGCCGCUCGAGCACCUCGACGACACCGUCCUGCCCCGGUAGCAUCGCGUCCGCGUCCGGGUCUGCGGCGUGGCCGCCACGGGGGUCUCGCCGCGCCGGUCGCCGCAGUGGCGCCUCCUACGCAGGCGCACCAACUAGGGCCUGCCGCCGCCGCCGCCGUCCCUGGACAUGAGCGUGGAGACCGUGCCGCAGCGGCUGCCCCUGCGCCCGCGCGAGCACCGCCCCUCGCCGCGGCCCUGCUCGAAGACGCCCUCGUUGCGCCACUGCCGCGGCCGCGACGACGGCAGCGGCCUCCUCCUCGGCCCGAGCAGGAGCCGCCCUCCGGUUCGCGAUGACAGAUUCUCCCCUUCCCUGCUUGACCCAUCGGCGGCGCUCCUACGGCUGCUGACACUCCGGCAGUUACUCUGGGCCGGCGUCGCCGGCCGCCGUUUCGCUUCCUGAGCACGACGGCUCCAGGUAUUGGUUAGUCUCGCCUUUUCUUCCCUAGCCUAGUUGCUUUUCUACUUUCGUAACGUUCUUGAGCAUGGGGUAACGUUGUUCUCGCUGUUCCGCAGGUAGGAUCUGCUUCGUUAGCUCAUGAAUUUCAGAGACGUUGACGUUCAAGUCUAGUACACCUACCGAUGACCCUACCGCGGGUACUACAUGGGACCACGAGUGGUUGAGUACGGCGGCUACCGGUACCCGAACUUGAGUCGCACGUACGGGCGCCGCGUCUCGGAAUCGGUCGACGUUUCUCAUCGUGGCAAAUACUUGGUAGUAGAGGGUUUAGUUUACGGAUCCCAGGUUAGAGGUCGAUACCUAAGGGAGUUACACCCUUUGUUACCACAGACACCACUCGGUUCUUUGGGAAAGGACGUAGGUCCGUUGUGUGAUUGUCGUCGUAGAGUCGACGGACUAUACAAAGGGAUACGUAGAGUUUUCCGUGUUGUUUUGGUCUUAGUAGUCAAUGACGGAUUGUGACUGUACGGUCGAAGUCCUGGGACGAGCGGUAGAAAACGACUGCCUUGACCUUGUAUUCUGGUCCGUCAAAGUUCGUUCUACUAAAUGACUAACCAGUAGAUAGAUAUACUAUUAUAUUCUACGGUUCCUUUGUGUCUGUACAGACGGUGUAGGGGUUGGUUGCCGGUCUUAUUGAGCGUCCUUCGUUAUUUUAUGACCCCCCACCUAUGUCCUCCAGUCUCGUUUUACCAGGAUCUUCUUGUUCUAUACUAUACUAUGGUUCUGCGACACACGACAUUCCGGUCCCCUUCUAGUACGUUGUGACUCGGAAGCACCGUGGUGAUUCGUUGGUUGUGCAUACCCGGGCUCUAGUACGACUAUCGUCUAUGAUAAGAAUAGACCUCUUAUCAGAACUCGUAGUCGAAAGACAAAUACCUUCCUAAACCAGGUACCCUCUACUUGAACCCGAACUGUCCCUGUUGUUUCUACGAAGACGACUAUACGACGUCUAGACCUCUACUGUAACAACCUCGGUCGUAGGCGUGUCCCUAUGUUGAACCCGUCAAGACAAGCCGAAAGGUGGCUACAUUGAGGUGACCACUCUGGAUUAUCCUGACAGGACAACUGGACGCCAGCUGCUAACUCGAUAGCUAUAUUUGUUCCCGUCCGUCCUUGAACACGAAAAGCCUGUGGUAACAUCUAGUCCAAACGUAUACGGAAACUCUUAAGUCUGUUCACCGUGUACUUCUAGUAAGAAGUAACAAGUAGUCCUAACGCUCUAAUAGCCGAAUAAAACACACAGCGGGUGGAAAAGCGGAAUGGGAAUUGGGACCUUUCUAACAUGGUGUACACCACUACGGGACAAUGUUCAAGUAGUCCUGACACUGCCAGUAGUAGGCAAAGCAGUGUCUCAUUAAUCAGAGACUUUAAUAGUUACGUCGACGUAGAAAUAACACGAUUAAUACUAAGUCGAAGUCAGCGGCAGUCAGCUCUGACCCUGAAACGAAACGUAAAUAUGCAGCUCUAAACCGACAGUACGAGUUCAUAAAUACGCAUGACGUCGCUAACUACAUCUACGAACCGUUAAACCUCCUGUCUAUAUGUGUAAGAGACGCAAAACGAGAACAAACGUAUAUAAAAAGACACCUGUCGACGUCUA